rnacentral:rRNA from 1 species
AGGACGAACGCUGGCGGCGUGCUUAACACAUGCAAGUCGAGCGGAAAGGCCCUUCGGGGUACUCGAGCGGCGAACGGGUGAGUAACACGUGAGCAACCUGCCCCUGGCUCUGGGAUAGCCUCCGGAAACGGGGAUUAAUACCGGACAUGACCCUUGACCGCAUGGUUGGGGGUGGAAAGUUUUUCGGCCAGGGUGGGGCUCGCGGCCUAUCAGCUUGUUGGGGGGGUGCGGCUCACCAAGGCGACGACGGGUAG